rnacentral:rRNA from 1 species
UGAGGAAUUUUGCGCAAUGGGCGAAAGCCUGACGCAGCAACGCCGCGUGAGUGAUGAAGGCUUUUGGGUCGUAAAGCUCUGUCAAUGGGAAAGAAAGUGUUAUAUAUUAAUAGUGUAUAGUAUUGACGGUACCCAUGAAGGAAGCACCGGCUAACUCCGUGCCAGCAGCCGCGGUAACACGGGGGGUGCAAGCGUUAUUCGGAAUUAUUGGGCGUAAAGGGCGCGCAGGCGGAAAUGCAGGUCAGAUGUGAAAGCCCGGGGCUCACCCCCGGAAGAGCAUUUGAAACCGUGUUUCUUGAAUAUGGUAGAGGGUAGUGGAAUUCCUGGUGUAGAGGUGAAAUUCGUAGAUAUCAGGAGGAACACCGGUGGCGAAGGCGACUACCUGGGCCAAUAUUGACGCUGAGGCGCGAAGGCGUGGGGAGCAAACA